UGAAGAUGGAAGGGAGUAGUCAGUUUCAUCAGGUGAUCAGAGAGAACCUGUGAGGAAAGUCACCAACUGAGAUCACAAGUCCCCAGAGAGCACCGCCAUGCUCCUCCUGGUUCAACCUUCAAAAGCCAACCGAUAACAAUCUACUAUAUUAACAGGUGCCUACUGAAUCUUCUUUGGGACCCUCCCCGCAGGACUGGGACCAUCCCCGCAGGACUGGGACCCCUCCCCGCAGGACUGGGACCAUCCCCGC